UGAGUCCUACGGGGCGCAGCAGUGGGGAAUAUUGGGCAAUGGGCGCAAGCCUGACCCAGCAACGCCGCGUGAAGGAAGAAGGCUUUCGGGUUGUAAACUUCUUUUGUCAGGGACGAAGCAAGUGACGGUACCUGACGAAUAAGCCACGGCUAACUACGUGCCAGCAGCCGCGGUAAUACGUAGGUGGCAAGCGUUAUCCGGAUUUACUGGGUGUAAAGGGCGUGUAGGCGGGGAAGCAAGUCAGAUGUGAAAACCACGGGC
rnacentral:rRNA from 1 species